rnacentral:rRNA from 1 species
ACGGGGGGCCUACGGGAGGCAGCAGUAGGGAAUCUUCCGCAAUGGACGAAAGUCUGACGGAGCAACGCCGCGUGAGUGAUGAAGGUUUUCGGAUCGUAAAGCUCUGUUGUUAGGGAAGAACAAGUGCAAGAGUAACUGCUUGCACCUUGACGGUACCUAACCAGAAAGCCACGGCUAACUACGUGCCAGCAGCCGCGGUAAUACGUAGGUGGCAAGCGUUGUCCGGAAUUAUUGGGCGUAAAGGGCUCGCAGGCGGUUUCUUAAGUCUGAUGUGAAAGCCCCCGGCUCAACCGGGGAGGGUCAUUGGAAACUGGGAAACUUGAGUGCAGAAGAGGAGAGUGGAAUUCCACGUGUAGCGGUGAAAUGCGUAGAGAUGUGGAGGAACACCAGUGGCGAAGGCGACUCUCUGGUCUGUAACUGACGCUGAGGAGCGAAAGCGUGGGGAGCGAACAGGAUUAGAUACCCUGGUAGUCCACGCCGUAAACGAUGAGUGCUAAGUGUUAGGGGGUUUCCGCCCCUUAGUGCUGCAGCUAACGCAUUAAGCACUCCGCCUGGGGAGUACGGUCGCAAGACUGAAACUCAAAGGAAUUGACGG